UACGUAGGGACCGAGCGUUGUCCGGAAUCAUUGGGCGUAAAGAGCGUGUAGGCGGCCAACUAAGUCCUGCGUGAAAUCUCGGGGCUCAACCCCGAGCGGUCGUGGGAAACUGGUUGGCUAGAGUGCGGGAGAGGAGAGUGGAAUUCUUGGUGUAGCAGUGAAAUGCGUAGAUAUCAAGAGGAACACCAGUGGCGAAGGCGAGUCCCUGGACGAUACCUGACACUGAGGCACGAAAGCUAGGGGAGCAAACAGG
rnacentral:rRNA from 1 species